UACGUAGGGUGCAAGCGUUAAUCGGAAUUACUGGGCGUAAAGCGUGCGCAGGCGGUUUUGUAAGUCUGUCGUGAAAUCCCCCGGGCUCAACCUGGGAAUUGCGAUGGAGACUGCAAGGCUAGAAUCUGGCAGAGGGGGGUAGAAUUCCACGUGUGAGCAGUGAAAUGCGUAGAGAUGUGGAGGAACACCGAUGGCGAAGGCAGCCCCCUGGGUCAAGAUUGACGC
rnacentral:rRNA from 1 species